ACUGCUGUAACCCAUUGGUAGAGGUGUCGCCAGUACAGAUAGCGAAGGUCGCUAGUUCAAAUCCAGCCCGCGGUG